CCUACGGGGGGCAGCAGUGGGGAAUAUUGGACAAUGGGGGGAACCCUGAUCCAGCCAUGCCGCGUGUGUGAAGAAGGCCCUCGGGUUGUAAAGCACUUUCAGUGAGGAAGAACGCCUGGUGGUUAAUACCCAUCAGGAAAGACAUCACUCACAGAAGAAGCACCGGCUAACUCCGUGCCAGCAGCCGCGGUAAUACGGAGGGUGCGAGCGUUAAUCGGAAUUACUGGGCGUAAAGCGCGCGUAGGUGGCUUGAUAAGCCGGUUGUGAAAGCCCCGGGCUCAACCUGGGAACGGCAUCCGGAACUGUCAAGCUAGAGUGCAGGCGAGGAAGGUAGAAUUCCCGGUGUAGCGGUGAAAUGCGUAGAGAUCGGGAGGAAUACCAGUGGCGAAGGCGGCCUUCUGGACUGACACUGACACUGAGGUGCGAAAGCGUGGGUAGCAAACAGGAUUAGAUACCCGUGUAGUC
rnacentral:rRNA from 1 species